AAUGGAAUUUAGUAGAACUCCGCAUCUUAUGGAAGUACAAAAUAUUGUGAGUUAACGAAUACUACAAAGUUAGUCAUCACAGUCGUUAUUUGUGCUUGUGAUUUACGCUCCUAUAAAACAACAGUGUCGAUGUAGCUGAAACUGAAUAAGCAACCCGAGCAACCCGCUUGAGUCUUGACAGAUAUGUUUCCAUGAAGGAAGAAGUAUUCCGUGAAUUAUUUUGUGAAAAAGGAUAUUUUUCAAGCAAAGCCGAAACAAAAGCAGCUGUGAGUUUUUGGAAUUUGAUUUGGGAAGCUAUACUCUAGCACGGAAGAUGAUAGAGAAACGAAUGUGUGCGAAUGUGUGUCGGUGCCGCUCAUUAGGACGAGCCCAGUUAUCAUGUUUUCCUGGAAUUCUGAAUGAAUUGCAACACAACCCUCACGACGGCGAAAUAGGAUAGCCAGUUCAAUGGAUAUGAAAACAUCCGCGACUGAGAUGCAUACAUUGAGAGGACCGUACACGAUCUCAUUGGAAUUUCCCAUGUUAUACUUAUUCACAUCUGAUUUACUGUUGUGAUAAUCCCUUAUCAGCAAACGAUAAUACACGGUAUGAUAAAAUUAGUAA